GGCCGCGGGAAUUCGAUUUCUGGUUGAUCCUGCCAGACCCGACUGCUAUCAGAGUGGGACUAAGCCAUGCGAGUCGACGUAGCAAUACGUGGCGAACGGCUCAGAAACACGUAGUCAACAUGCCCAGGGGACGUGGAUAAUCUCGGGAAACUGAGAAUAAACCACGAUAGGUCACGAUUUCUGGAAUGGAUCUUGGCUUAAAUCUACAUGGCCCCUGGAUUGGACUGCGGCCGAUCAGGCUGUUGGUGAGGUAAUGGCCCACCAAACCUAUAACCGGUACGGGCUCUGAGAGGAGGAGCCCGGAGAUGGGCACUGAGACAAGGGCCCAGGCCCUAUGGGGCGCAGCAGGCGCGAAACCUCUGCAAUAGGCGAAAGCCUGACAGGGUUACUCUGAGUGAUUUCCGCUAAGGGGAUCUUUUGGCACCUCUAAAAAUGGUGCAGAAUAAGGGGUGGGCAAGUCUGGUGUCAGCCGCCGCGGUAAUACCAGCACCCCGAGUGGUCGGGACGAUUAUUGGGCCUAAAGCAUCCGUAGCCGGUUCUGCAAGUCUUCCGUUAAAUCCAGCCGCUCAACGGAUGGGCCGCGGAGGAUACUAUAGGACUAGGAGGCGGGAGAGGCAAGCGGUACUCAGUGGGUAGGGGUAAAAUCCUUUGAUCCAUUGAAGACCACCAGUGGCGAAGGCGGCUUGCCAGAACGCGCUCGACGGUGAGGGAUGAAAGCUGGGGGAGCAAACCGGAUUAGAUACCCGGGUAGUCCCAGCUGUAAACGAUGCAGACUCGGUGAUGGGCUAGCCUUGUGCCAGCCCAGUGCCGCAGGGAAGCCGUUAAGUCUGCCGCCUGGGGAGUACGGUCGCAAGACUGAAACUUAAAGGAAUUGGCGGGGGAGCACCACAAGGGGUGAAGCCUGCGGUUCAAUUGGAUUCAACGCCGGAAAUCACUAGUGAAUUC
rnacentral:rRNA from 1 species